rnacentral:rRNA from 1 species
CGCCUUAAUUUCGCUAGGGUGCUUGCUAAGCUGGCGUCAGCGGCGGACGGGUGAGUAAUGCUUGGGACAUGCCUUGAGGUGGGGGACAACAGUUGGAAACGACUGCUAAUACCGCAUAAUGUCUACGGACCAAAGGGGCUUCGGCUCUCGCCUUUAGAUUGGCCCCAAAGUGGGAUUAGCUUAGUUUGGUGAAGGUAAAUGCACCAAGGCCGACGAUCCCCUAGCUUGGUUUGAGAGGAUGAUCAGCCCACACUGGGACUGAGAACACGGCCAGACUCCUACGGGAGGGCAGGCAGUGGGGGAAUAUUGCCACAAUGGGCGGCAAGCCUUGAUGCACCCAUGCCGGCGUGUGUGAAGAAGGCCUUCGGGGUUGUAAAGCACUUUUCAGUCAGGAGGAAAAGGUUAGUAGUUAAUACCUGCUAGCUGUGACGUUACUGACAGAAGAAGCACCGGCUAACUCCGUGCCAGCAGCCGCGGUAAUACGGAGGGUGCGAGCGUUAAUCGGAAUUACUGGGCGUAAAGCGUACGCAGGCGGUUUGUUAAGCGAGAUGUGAAAGCCCCGGGCUCAACCUGGGAACUGCAUUUCGAACUGGCAAACUAGAGUGUGAUAGAGGGUGGUAGAAUUUCAGGUGUAGCGGUGAAAUGCGUAGAGAUCUGAAGGAAUACCGAUGGCGAAGGCAGCCACCUGGGUCAACACUGACGCUCAUGUACGAAAGCGUGGGGAGCAAACAGGAUUAGAUACCCUGGUAGUCCACGCCGUAAACGAUGUCUACUAGAAGCUCGGAACCUCGGUUCUGUUUUUCAAAGCUAACGCAUUAAGUAGACCGCCUGGGGAGUACGGCCGCAAGGUUAAAACUCAAAUGAAUUGACGGGGGCCCGCACAAGCGGUGGAGCAUGUGGUUUAAUUCGAUGCAACGCGAAGAACCUUACCUACACUUGACAUACAGAGAACUUACCAGAGAUGGUUUGGUGCCUUCGGGAGCUCUGAUACAGGUGCUGCAUGGCUGUCGUCAGCUCGUGUUGUGAGAUGUUGGGGUUAAGUCCCGCAACGAGCGCAACCCCUAUCCUUAGUUGCUAGCAGGAUAAUGCUARAGAACUCUAAGGAAGACUGCCGGUGAUAAACCGGAGGAAGGUGGGGACGACGUCAAGUCAUCAUGGCCCUUACGUGUAGGGCUACACACGUGCUACAAUGGCGCAUACAGAGUGCUGCGAACUCGCGAGAGUAAGCGAAUCACUUAAAGUGCGUCGUAGUCCGGAUUGGAGUCUGCAACUCGACUCCAUGAAGUCGGAAUCGCUAGUAACCGCGUAUCAGACACCCCCAACGCGGGGCCUU